AGUGAACGCUAGCGGUAGGCCUAACACAUGCAAGUCGAACGGCAGCACAGUAAGAGCUUGCUCUUACGGGUGGCGAGUGGCGGACGGGUGAGGAAUACAUCGGAAUCUACUUUUUCGUGGGGGUUACGUUAGGAAAACUUCGCCUAUUACCCAUUCCACCUACCGGUUAAAACCAGGGGACUUUCGACCUUUGCCCAUUGAAUGAACCGAUGUCGGAUUAGCUAGUUGGCGGGGUAAAGGCCCACCAAGGCGACGAUCCGUAGCUGGUCUGAGAGGAUGAUCAGCCACACUGGAACUGAGACACGGUCCAGACUCCUACGGGAGGCAGCAGUGGGGAAUAUUGGACAAUGGGCGCAAGCCUGAUCCAGCCAUACCGCGUGGGUGAAGAAGGCCUUCGGGUUGUAAAGCCCUUUUGUUGGGAAAGAAAAGCAGCAGGUUAAUACCCCGCUGUUCUGACGGUACCCAAAGAAUAAGCACCGGCUAACUUCGUG
rnacentral:rRNA from 1 species